CCAAAUAGGAAAAAUUAAUGUUUUCCUGAAGCUGACUGUCCCAUUAAUGUGUUGCUAAUCUCCAUAAAAAGAUAUUAUUAGCGUGUUCCAUUUGUACUCAAAGUCUGAAACAUUCCCCAUGACCUCGGAUUUUCAAGCUUGGAACUCAGGCAAUCGCCGAAACCCUGUGCUAAAAAUCCAACAUGGCUGCUCCGUGCAUCAACAGUUGUAAAAGCUUCAUACACGCAGCGCUGUCCAAUUUCUAUCUGUGGACAUGUUGUUACGCUGUUUGCAUGCACAAAAAAACAGUCUAACGCGUUGUUGUAAACUAGCAUUGCUAGCAAUGGCUAACCUAACUAGAGCUAAUGAAAACAAUGAAAAUCCGACUUGUAAAUGGAACGCAUUCAACUCGGGUGUGACGUCGUUCCCAGCUUCGGCUUCCGAGUUCAGAGGUAAAUGGAACGCACCAUAUGAUUUAUAAAAGACCAGACCACUGAACACUACAUCUGUUUAUUAUGCUCCAUAAUUUUCUCUCCAACAAGCCAAAUGCGAUAUUUAAAUAUAAACUACUGAGCUCAUUUCUGCAUUCUGAAAACCAACUGUGUGUAACGCAUACAGUAUGUUAUUAAAGCAUUCAGCUUAUGUACGCUGCCAAAAGUAUUAUCACACUGUUGGUUCAAUGUUUUUACUUUAGUUAAUGGUCACAAUGGUUUUUGUGCUAACAAAACGAGAAAUUCUCCUUUCUGUCUUGAUUCCCCUUCCUAGUUUUUUACUUUUAAUUUCUUCUGUUCUCCUUU